GCAGAAGUACUCAAGUGGCUGAAGAGGUGCCCCUGCUAAGGGUAUAGACCGUUUACGCGGUGCGAGGGUUCAAAUCCCUCCUUCUGUU
rnacentral:tRNA from 1 species